rnacentral:rRNA from 1 species
AGUGAACGCUGGCGGUAGGCCUAACACAUGCAAGUCGAACGGCAGCACAGUAAGAGCUUGCUCUUACGGGUGGCGAGUGGCGGACGGGUGAGGAAUACAUCGGAAUCUACUUUUUCGUGGGGGAUAACGUAGGGAAACUUACGCUAAUACCGCAUACGACCUACGGGUGAAAGCAGGGGAUCUUCGGACCUUGCGCGAUUGAAUGAGCCGAUGUCGGAUUAGCUAGUUGGCGGGGUAAAGGCCUACCAAGGCGACGAUCCGUAGCUGGUCUGAGAGGAUGGUCGGCCACACUGGAACUGAGACACGCACCAUACUCCUACGGGAGGCAGCAGUGGGGAAUAUUGGACAAUGGGCGCAAGCCUUAUCCAGCCAUACCGCGUGUGUGAAGAAGGCCUUCGGGUUGUAAAGCCCUUUUGUUGGGAAAGAAAAGCAGCAGGUUAAUACCCCGCUGUUCUGACGGUACCCAAAGAAUAAGCACCGGCUAACUUCGUG